UAUUUGUGCUAGGGGUGCCUUAGGCUGAGAGAUGAUUUAUUCAUCAACCCUCAUACCUGAUCUGGUUAAUACCAGCGUAGGAAAGCGAUUUUAGUAGCAU
rnacentral:ncRNA from 2 species